AGCCUCGUGGUCUAAUGGUACGAUAUCAGCCUAUCAUCAAAAUGUAUAACGCUGCAAGAUGCGAGUUCGAUUCCCGCCGGGCUG